ACUCCUACGGGAGGCAGCAGUGGGGAAUAUUGCACAAUGGGGGAAACCCUGAUGCAGCCAUGCCGCGUGUGUGAAGAAGGCCUUCGGGUUGUAAAGCACUUUCAGUAGGGAGGAAGGUAGUGUAGUUAACACCUGCAUCAUUUGAUUGUAUACCUACAGAAGAAGCACCGGCUAACUCCGUGCCAGCAGCCGCGGUAAUACGGAGGGUGCGAGCGUUAAUCGGAAUUACUGGGCGUAAAGCGCAUGCAGGCGGCCUGUUAAGUCAGAUGUGAAAGCCCGGGGCUUAACCUCGGAAUUGCAUUUGAAACUGGCAGGCUAGAGUCUUGUAGAGGGGGGUAGAAUUUCAGGUGUAGCGGUGAAAUGCGUAGAGAUCUGAAGGAAUACCAGUGGC
rnacentral:rRNA from 1 species